rnacentral:rRNA from 1 species
UACGGAGGGUGCAAGCGUUAUCCGGAUUCACUGGGUUUAAAGGGUGCGUAGGUGGGUCUGUAAGUCAGUGGUGAAAUCUCCGAGCUUAACUCGGAAACUGCCAUUGAUACUAUAGGUCUUGAAUUAUCUGGAGGUAAGCGGAAUAUGUCAUGUAGCGGUGAAAUGCUUAGAUAUGACAUAGAACACCAAUUGCGAAGGCAGCUUACUACGGAUAUAUUGACACUGAGGCACGAAAGCGUGGGGAUCAAACAGGA